rnacentral:rRNA from 1 species
GGCGUGCUUAACACAUGCAAGUCGACCGAGAAAGCUUAAACUUGCUAGAGAAAGUAAAGUGGCGCACGGGUGAGUAACGCGUGGGUAAUCUGCCUCCGAAUCGGGGAUAACAUUGCGAAAGCGAUGCUAAUACCGGAUAAAAUCUGGUUGGCUUAGGUGAACCGGAUCAAAGGUGGUCUCUUUAUAAAAGCUACCGUUUGGAGAUGAGCUCGCGUACCAUUAGCUAGUUGGUGAGGUAAAGGCUCACCAAGGCGACGAUGGUUAGCUGGUCUGAGAGGAUGAUCAGCCACACCGGAACUGGAACACGGUCCGGACUCCUACGGGAGGCAGCAGUGACGAAUUUGGCGCAAUGGGGGAAACCCUGACGCAGCAACGCCGCGUGAGUGAUGAAGGCUUAUCGGGUCGUAAAGCUCUGUCAGGUGGGAAGAACCCACCAAGUGUUAAGACCACUUGGUGCUGACGGUACCACCGAAGGAAGGCACCGGCUAGCUCCGUGCCAGCAGUCCGCGGUAAUACGGGGGGUGCGAGCGUAACUUCGGAAUCAUAUGCGGCGUAAAGGGCGCGCAGGCGGUUUUGUAAGUCAGAUGUGAAAUCCCGGAGCUUAACACCGGAAGUGCAUAUGAAACUAUG